CACAACCGGGCCCGCCUCGACAUUCUGACACCAGCUGGCAGCAGCCAAGCUCUGCCCUCAGGAGCACUCACCCAGCAGUCCAAGCCAUUAGCGGCCACGAGAGCCACAUGCUUCGGACAGGCGGGCCACAGCGGGGCCUCCCGGGCUCACAGCGAUUAUCUUCCCCAGCCAGUGAACUUCCUGGAGGCCCGUCCUGAAGGACUGGGUUUGUCAUGAGAGCCCACACGACAGGAUUUGCAGAGCCGGCCGCCACGGAGCAGAGGCUGGGAUUCCAGGCACUCUUGCCUAGCGGGUCAUCCGUCUGACUUCAGCAGAAACGCACAGCCGAUGACCCAGACCCGCCGCCAGCACCUGCACUUGAAGAAUUCAGAGUCACCCUGAACGGGUCUGAAUUGGCAGGCUUUCACAGAGCCCCACACAUCCUCAAGUAUACAGCUGCCAUGGGUCACAUAAAAUCUCAAGGGUGGAGACCCUGGUUCUCAGUGACUUCAACAAGGCUGGUUGCCCGCUUGGCUCACCACCCUGGCCCUGGAGUCCCAAAUUGGCAUGAAGCUGGUUCUCCAUGAAUAUUUGUUGAAUUAAUGGAUCUGGUGGUGGAAUGACUACCGGAACAUUUGAUAUGCCACCACAUCCUACCACGGCAAAAGUCAUACCUGUCCCCGGGUGGAGUCCAGCAUGGAUUUCUGGCCACCUGUACACCUGGAAUUUCCUGAUCUGCAGUCACUAAAUAUUUUCAGUAAAAGCAAUUAUUAUAUGACAAAAUAAAAGGCUUCCUUUUCAUACUUUUGAAAAACAUGAUGAUAAAACAAAUCAGAAAAAAUG
rnacentral:lncRNA from 1 species